rnacentral:rRNA from 1 species
GGAAUAUUGGUCAAUGGACGAGAGUCUGAACCAGCCAAGUAGCGUGCAGGAUGACGGCCCUAUGGGUUGUAAACUGCUUUUAUACGGGGAUAAAGUCACCCACGUGUGGGUGUUUGUAGGUACUAUAUGAAUAAGGACCGGCUAAUUCCGUGCCAGCAGCCGCGGUAAUACGGAAGGUCCGGGCGUUAUCCGGAUUUAUUGGGUUUAAAGGGAGCGCAGGCUGAUGAUUAAGCGUGACGUGAAAUGUCCCGGCUCAACCGUGGAACUGCGUCGCGAACUGGUUUUCUUGAGUGAGUUCGAUGUUGGCGGAAUUCGUGGUGUAGCGGUGAAAUGCUUAGAUAUCACGAAGAACUCCGAUUGCGAAGGCAGCCAACAAGGCCUUUACUGACGCUAAAGCUUGAAGGUGCGGGUAUCGAACA